rnacentral:rRNA from 1 species
GAUGAACGCUAGCGGGAGGCCUAACACAUGCAAGCCGAGCGGUAUUUCUUCUUCGGGAGAGAGAGAGCGGCGUACGGGUGCGGAACACGUGUGCAACCUGCCUUUAUCUAGAGGAUAGCCUUUCGAAAGGAAGAUUAAUACUCUAUAAUAUAUUAAUUGGCAUCAAUUGAUAUUGAAAACUCCGGUGGAUAGAGAUGGGCACGCGCAAGAUUAGCUAGUUGGUGGGGUAACGGCCUACCAAGGCAAUGGUCUUUAAGGGGCCUGAGAGGGUGAACCCCCACACUGGUUACUGAGAACGGACCAAACUUCUACGGGAGGCAGCAGUGAGGAAUAUUGGUCAAUGGGUGCCAACCUGAACCAGCCAUCCCGGGUGAAAGAUUAAGGUUCUAUUGAUUGUAAACCUCUUUUGUAUAGGGAUAAACCUACCCUCGUGAGGGUAGCUGAAGGUACUAUACGAAUAAGCACCGGCUAACUCCGUGCCAGCAGCCGCCGUAAUAC